GUUAUUGAAGGGCCGACAGCUCAUGUAUGGUACACUUCAAAAUACCAUGUCUGCCCAAGAGAACUGUCAAUAUAGGGUAAUACCAUGUGAUUGGAGUUUUCUCAGUUCUUACAUAUGUCCAUCCAUAUCUGAGGUCUGGCCGGAGAUGUGAAUGACGAGCUAGCUUAACUUCUCACUGGGUGAUAUGUGAUGGAAAGGUCAGGUCCAACACAAUUGGGCAUCAUCAACCGUGUUCUGAAAUUACCAGCACAAAUGGUCUAGGAAGCGUCCUGCAUCCCAGUAGUGGGUUCUUGUGGGUGCAGUCACUGUAUACAUUUUGUCUGGCAUGGCUGCAUUCCUCCUCAUGUCAUGCCGUCGUCACCCUUCUUCAUACAUCUUGACCAUUGUUAUAAUCCCCCAGGCCAGAGCAAGUUGCAGCAGAGAGUUCAGUGGAGUUGUGGCAAAGUACAAAGCGCAUCACUUGGAGAUGA